GCUGGCGGCAUGCCUCAUACAUGCAAGUCGAACGAGAUCUUCGGAUCUAGUGGCGCACGGGUGAGUAACAUGUGGGAAUCUACCUAAAGGUUCGGAAUAACUGCGGGAAACUGUAGCUAAUACCGGAUGUGUCUGUAAAGAGAAAGAUUUAUCGCCUUUAGAUGAGCCCGCACUAGAUUAGCUAGUUGGUGAGGUAAUUGCUCCACCAAGGCUACGAUCUAUAGCUGAUUUGAGAGGAUGAUCAGCCACACUGGGACUGAGACACGGCCCAGACUCCUACGGGAGGCAGCAGUAGGGAAUAUUGGACAAUGGGGGAAACCCUGAUCCAGCAAUGCCGCGUGAGUGAAGAAGGCCCUCGGGUUGUAAAACUCUUUCAUCAAUGAUGAUAAUGACAUUAAUUGAAGAAGAAGCUCCGGCUAACUUCGUGCCAGCAGCCGCGGUAAUACGAAGGGGGCUAGCGUUGUUCGGAAUCACUGGGCGUAAAGCGUAUGUAGGCGGAUCAAAAAGUUAGAUGUGAAAUCCCUGGGCUCAACCCAGGAACUGCAUUUAAAACUAGUGAUCUAGAAUUUGGUAAGGGUUAGUAGAAUUUCCAGUGUAGAGGUGAAAUUCGUAGAUAUUGGAAAGAAUACCAGAAGCGAAGGCGACUAACUAGGCCAUUUUUGACGCUGAGAUACGAAAGCGUGGGUAGCAAACAGGAUUAGAUACCCUGGUAGUCCACGCAGUAAACGAUGAGUGCUAGUCGCUGGUACAUUAGUAUCAGUGUCGUAGCUAACGCAUUAAGCACUCCGCCUGGGAAGUACGGU
rnacentral:rRNA from 1 species